rnacentral:rRNA from 1 species
AAAACAUAGCCUAAAGAAUGGAUUUUAGGUAAAGCCUGCCCAGUGAGAAAUUUAACGGCCGCGGUACUUUGACCGUGCUAAGGUAGCGUAAUCAGUUGACUUUUAAAUGGAGUCUUGUAUGAAUGGAUUAAUGGAAUUUAGCUGUCUCUUUCUUAUUCUAUUGAAAUUACUAACUAGGUGAAAAGGCCUAGGAAUGAAAAAAGACGAGAAGACCCUUAGAGUUUUAAACAAAGGUUUUUGUUGGGGCGACAAGAAGACAAGUAACUCUUCUAGAGAAAAGAACAUGCCGACUUUUAUAAGAUUGGAUAAACUACCUUAGGGAUAACAGCAUAAUCUAGUAAUUAGGUUUGUGACCUCGAUGUUGGACUAGGAAACUAACACUCUAGCAGAGUGUUUGGUGAGGUUCUGUUCGAACUUAUAUUCCUACGUGAUCU